CAUAGGUUAAUGAGGCGAACCGGGGGAACUGAAACAUCUAAGUACCCCGAGGAAAAGAAAUCAACCGAGAUUCCCCCAGUAGCGGCGAGCGAACGGGGAGCAGCCCAGAGCCUGAAUCAGUGUGUGUGUUAGUGGAAGCGUCUGGAAAGGCGCGCGAUACAGGGUGACAGCCCCGUACACAAAAAUGCACAUGCUGUGAGCUCGAUGAGUAGGGCGGGACACGUGGUAUCCUGUCUGAAUAUGGGGGGACCAUCCUCCAAGGCUAAAUACUCCUGACUGACCGAUAGUGAACCAGUACCGUGAGGGAAAGGCGAAAAGAACCCCGGCGAGGGGAGUGAAAAAGAACCUGAAACCGUGUACGUACAAGCAGUGGGAGCCUCUUUAUGGGGUGACUGCGUACCUUUUGUAUAAUGGGUCAGCGACUUAUAUUCUGUAGCAAGGUUAACCGAAUAGGGGAGCCGAAGGGAAACCGAGUCUUAACUGGGCGUUAAGUUGCAGGGUAUAGACCCGAAACCCGGUGAUCUAGCCAUGGGCAGGUUGAAGGUUGGGUAACACUAACUGGAGGACCGAACCGACUAAUGUUGAAAAAUUAGCGGAUGACUUGUGGCUGGGGGUGAAAGGCCAAUCAAACCGGGAGAUAGCUGGUUCUCCCCGAAAGCUAUUUAGGUAGCGCCUCGUGAAUUCAUCUCCGGGGGUAGAGCACUGUUUCGGCAAGGGGGUCAUCCCGACUUACCAACCCGAUGCAAACUGCGAAUACCGGAGAAUGUUAUCACGGGAGACACACGGCGGGUGCUAACGUCCGUCGUGAAGAGGGAAACAACCCAGACCGCCAGCUAAGGUCCCAAAGUCAUGGUUAAGUGGGAAACGAUGUGGGAAGGCCCAGACAGCCAGGAUGUUGGCUUAGAAGCAGCCAUCAUUUAAAGAAAGCGUAAUAGCUCACUGGUCGAGUCGGCCUGCGCGGAAGAUGUAACGGGGCUAAACCAUGCACCGAAGCUGCGGCAGCGACGCUUAUGCGUUGUUGGGUAGGGGAGCGUUCUGUAAGCCUGUGAAGGUGUGCUGUGAGGCAUGCUGGAGGUAUCAGAAGUGCGAAUGCUGACAUAAGUAACGAUAAAGCGGGUGAAAAGCCCGCUCGCCGGAAGACCAAGGGUUCCUGUCCAACGUUAAUCGGGGCAGGGUGAGUCGACCCCUAAGGCGAGGCCGAAAGGCGUAGUCGAUGGGAAACAGGUUAAUAUUCCUGUACUUGGUGUUACUGCGAAGGGGGGACGGAGAAGGCUAUGUUGGCCGGGCGACGGUUGUCCCGGUUUAAGCGUGUAGGCUGGUUUUCCAGGCAAAUCCGGAAAAUCAAGGCUGAGGCGUGAUGACGAGGCACUACGGUGCUGAAGCAACAAAUGCCCUGCUUCCAGGAAAAGCCUCUAAGCAUCAGGUAACAUCAAAUCGUACCCCAAACCGACACAGGUGGUCAGGUAGAGAAUACCAAGGCGCUUGAGAGAACUCGGGUGAAGGAACUAGGCAAAAUGGUGCCGUAACUUCGGGAGAAGGCACGCUGAUAUGUAGGUGAGGUCCCUCGCGGAUGGAGCUGAAAUCAGUCGAAGAUACCAGCUGGCUGCAACUGUUUAUUAAAAACACAGCACUGUGCAAACACGAAAGUGGACGUAUACGGUGUGACGCCUGCCCGGUGCCGGAAGGUUAAUUGAUGGGGUUAGCGGUAACGCGAAGCUCUUGAUCGAAGCCCCGGUAAACGGCGGCCGUAACUAUAACGGUCCUAAGGUAGCGAAAUUCCUUGUCGGGUAAGUUCCGACCUGCACGAAUGGCGUAAUGAUGGCCAGGCUGUCUCCACCCGAGACUCAGUGAAAUUGAACUCGCUGUGAAGAUGCAGUGUACCCGCGGCAAGACGGAAAGACCCCGUGAACCUUUACUAUAGCUUGACACUGAACAUUGAGCCUUGAUGUGUAGGAUAGGUGGGAGGCUUUGAAGUGUGGACGCCAGUCUGCAUGGAGCCGACCUUGAAAUACCACCCUUUAAUGUUUGAUGUUCUAACGUUGACCCGUAAUCCGGGUUGCGGACAGUGUCUGGUGGGUAGUUUGACUGGGGCGGUCUCCUCCUAAAGAGUAACGGAGGAGCACGAAGGUUGGCUAAUCCUGGUCGGACAUCAGGAGGUUAGUGCAAUGGCAUAAGCCAGCUUGACUGCGAGCGUGACGGCGCGAGCAGGUGCGAAAGCAGGUCAUAGUGAUCCGGUGGUUCUGAAUGGAAGGGCCAUCGCUCAACGGAUAAAAGGUACUCCGGGGAUAACAGGCUGAUACCGCCCAAGAGUUCAUAUCGACGGCGGUGUUUGGCACCUCGAUGUCGGCUCAUCACAUCCUGGGGCUGAAGUAGGUCCCAAGGGUAUGGCUGUUCGCCAUUUAAAGUGGUACGCGAGCUGGGUUUAGAACGUCGUGAGACAGUUCGGUCCCUAUCUGCCGUGGGCGCUGGAGAACUGAGGGGGGCUGCUCCUAGUACGAGAGGACCGGAGUGGACGCAUCACUGGUGUUCGGGUUGUCAUGCCAAUGGCACUGCCCGGUAGCUAAAUGCGGAAGAGAUAAGUGCUGAAAGCAUCUAAGCACGAAACUUGCC
rnacentral:rRNA from 1 species